rnacentral:rRNA from 1 species
AGGACGAACGCUGGCGGCGUGCCUAACACAUGCAAGUCGAGCGGGGACAUACGACGGAGUCAAAGUUUCGGAUGGAGACGAAGAUGUAUGUUCUAGCGGCGGACGGGUGAGUAACGCGUGAGCAACCUGUCCCUUACAGGGGGAUAACACAGCGAAAGUUGUACUAAUACCGCAUGAGACCACGGGAGGACAUCCUCCAGGGGUCAAAGGAGCAAUCCGGUAAGGGGUGGGCUCGCGUCCGAUUAGAUAGUUGGUGAGGUAACGGCCCACCAAGUCGACGAUCGGUAGCCGACCUGAGAGGGUGAUCGGCCACAUUGGGACUGAGACACGGCCCAAACUCCUACGGGAGGCAGCAGUGGGGAAUAUUGGGCAAAUGGGGGAAACCCUGACCCAGCAACGCCGCGUGAGGGAAGAAGGUUUUCGGAUCGUAAACCUCUGUCCUUGGUGAAGAGAAAGAGACGGUAGCCAAGGAGGAAGCCCCGGCUAACUACGUGCCAGCCGCGGC